rnacentral:misc_RNA from 1 species
GAUGAAGAACGCAGCGAAAUGCGAUAAGUAAUGUGAAUUGCAGAAUUCAGUGAAUCAUCGAAUCUUUGAACGCACAUUGCGCCCGUCAGUAUUCUGGCGGGCAUGCCUGUUCGAGCGUCAUUACGCCCCUCAAGUCCCCUGUGGACUUGGUGUUGGGGAUCGGCGAGGCUGGUUUUCCAGCACAGCCGUCCCUUAAAUUAAUUGGCGGUCUCGCCGUGGCCCUCCUCUGCGCAGUAGUAAAACACUCGCAACAGGAGCCCGGCGCGGUCCACUGCCGUAAAACCCCCCAACUUUUUAUAGUUGACCUCGGAUCAGGUAGGGAUACCCGCUGAACUUAAGCAUAUCAAUAAGCGGAGGA